CAAGCCUUAACCUCUCUCUCUUCUCUUGUUUUUCAUCCAUGAGUGAGAUACUAGCCAAUAGUGAGGAGAAUUGGAGAAUUCUCCUCAAGAGCAGCAGCAAUGCUCAAAACCAAACCACAUGCCUAGGGCUAACCUUAACGUGCUCCCUUCACAACCCCGGUUCCCUUCAAUAGAUAACAACUUGUGGAGCAUGAUGGGUGGUUUGGAAGAUGGACCUGAAGAGCACAUUGAUGUUCUCCUAUAAUAGUUCUAGCAAUGGAAUAAGGCAAAACAAGUUGUUCCUUUCAGUCCUUUUGUUUGGGGUUGAUUAAUGUUUUUGUUUGGUUGGGUGUUUCUUCGGUGAGGUUUCUGAUCAUUUUGUCUUUCUUUUGCUUUGUUUUUGGGUCUAAAGUCUUUUGUAUGGCGGCCUUGAUCGGCUUUCAUCAUUUUUUCUUUGUUUAGCUUUGUUUCUGAGUCUUAAAGUCUUUUGUAAGAGACUAAUAUUUAUAAAUAAAAAGUCGUUCAUCGAGUCAA